CUGGACAGCUGCUUCUCUCCAGGCUCAGAUUCCCACAAAGACUCACAUGGCUUCACACGCUCUGCUCCCUCAUGGACUCUGCUUCCCCACUUCUGGAUUCCUUUUUCCUCGACCCUUUUUCUCCGUCUUGUGAGUAUCCCUUCUUCGUUUAUUUUUGUUAAUCCAGUUUAGUAUUGGUUGACUUCCGUUUCUGUAUUCGUAGUGUUUGCUGGGUUUUGAAUAGUUGGGUUUAGUUUUGUUUCCCCAGUUCAGCUCUCCAUUUAUGUACUAGUUUAGUUAUCUUUUUAAAUGAAACUCUUUCCAUUAUUCACCUGUCUGCAAGUCUCUCAGUGUCUGUGCCUGCGUUGUCCAACUCAGGGCCCAAACCGUCCCUUAAAUAAUCCUGGGUCCGUUUCACGAAGCAGGUUCAACAAACUCUGUGUAACCCUGAACUCUGAGUUGAUCUACUCUGAGAUACGAAACUCUGACUUUUUGGUUUAACAACGGCUGAUUGGAGUUGGUUUAAUCAACUCGGAGUAGUUUCACCCAGAGUGCACCGCAACUAUAAAAAGACAGCAUCAAUGGAACCCCGAUUCGACGAGUCACCAUGGUGACGGGGAAGCGGAGAGCUACGUUUUUUUUACACCACUUGAACUGGACAUCUUAAUGCGUUCAUAUGGCGACUUCGAACACGUUUUUAGAAAGAAGUGCAACACCUGCAGCUGCAAAAGAGAGGGAGACGGCGUGGGAGAACAUUGUUGCCCGGGUCAAUGCGUAAGUUUAAAUCACAAUAAUAUUACAGCAAAACUGUUUAAUAGCAGCCUAUUCUGUUAUUUCAUUUAGGUGCAAUCCUGCGGGGGAGAAGCGCAUGUGGCAGCAGCUGAAGAUGAAAUAUAAGAACAUUGUUCAAACGGCCAACAGAAAGAAAGGAGAUGCCUGUAAAAAGGAGGUGGCCCAGCAGCACCACCUGUAACGGAGGCAGAGGAGCUGCUCCUAAGCCAGAAUUUGGGAAGGCCAGUGGCUGAGGGAAUCCCUGGAGGGAGCUCAUCCUCUGAGACCACAUCCCAAGACACAAGUGUGUGUGUGCGUGCGUGUGUGUUCAUGCGCCCACUGAACAUUUGCCAUAAGGAAGCACAGAGCACUGCAUUGUUUCUGCCUACGAGCGAGUGUGUGUGCAGCCACAGCGAUGGCAUGCGUGAAGGGGUGUGCUUUAAAGAUGCAGGUCUUCCUUUGCCCCCGUCUUCUCAAGGUGGCACCGAGUUCUACGAGUGCCUCUGAGACUCUCCUCUAUAAAAAAAAUGGAGCAGCACAAGCCCUUUUGACAUCACACUUUCUGCUACCAGGAGAUUAGAAAGUGAAGGUGGAGCACUCCGGAGAAAACGCUCUCGGCAAGAGGAAAAGGUGCAACAGAAAAUUGGACCUUCCAAGCGUACUUGUGGAGAUGCAGGCUGAGGAGGAGCGGAACCGGCACCCAGCAUGAUGAGAACAUCUGGUUGCUCCUCAGCGAGGCAAGAGAGAAUGAAGCGGCCUUGCAGCGGGAGGAGAUGGUCCAGAAUGCUGCCUUCAACCAGUCAUUCCUGGGUGUACUGGGGCAGCUGGGGCAGGCAGUGCUGGGUGUACUGGGGCAGCUGGGGCAGGCAGUGGGCAGCCAGCGAGUCCACCUCCCAGAGACUUGAGAUUUAGUUGUAUAUAGUUUUACUUUUAGCCCUCCACUGUAGGAGAGGCCCACCACAGUUUGUACUUUGCACAUUGUAAAUGGUUUUGAUUUUGCUGCUGACUAAUAAACUAUUUUGUGACUUAUGUGAUUGCAUCAUAACUUUUCAUUUUGUCUGUUAAGACACUGGUAGGAAAAGAGUCAACAGUCUGAACCAAACAAUUCUGUAUUCCCUAAUAAUGCAUUUAUGUUUAAUGGGAUUUAACAUGUUUUAACACAAACUCCUUUAUGGUUCAUAAUUCCAUUGACUGAAUUACACCAAAGCAAU
ensembl:lncRNA